rnacentral:rRNA from 1 species
UAACGCGUGGGCAACCUGCCUUNCACAGGGGGAUAACAGUUAGAAAUGACUGCUAAUACCGCAUAAGACCACAUUGCCGCAUGGCAGGGUGGUAAAAACUCCGGUGGUGUAAGAUGGGCCCGCGUCUGAUUAGGUAGUUGGCAGGGUAGAGGCCUACCAAGCCUACGAUCAGUAGCCGGCCUGAGAGGGUGGACGGCCACAUUGGGACUGAGACACGGCCCAAACUCCUACGGGAGGCAGCAGUGGGGAAUAUUGCACAAUGGGGAAACCCUGAUGCAGCGACGCCGCGUGAGUGAGGAAGUAUUUCGGUAUGUAAAGCUCUAUCAGCAGGGAAGAAAAUGACGGUACCUGACUAAGAAGCCUCGGCUAACUACGUGCCAGCAGCCGCGGUAAUACGUAGGGGGCAAGCGUUAUCCGGAUUUACUGGGUGUAAAGGGAGCGUAGACGGAGGAGCAAGUCUGAUGUGAAAAUCCGGGGCCCAACCCCGGAACUGCAUUGGAAACUGUUUAUCUAGAGUGUCGGAGAGGCAAGUGGAAUUCCUAGUGUAGCGGUGAAAUGCGUAGAUAUUAGGAGGAACACCAGUGGCGAAGGCGGCUUGCUGGACGAUGACUGACGUUGAGGCUCGAAAGCGUGGGGAGCAAACAGGAUUAGAUACCCUGGUAGUCCACGCCGUAAACGAUGACUACUAGGUGU